UGGGGAAUAUUGCACAAUGGGCGCAAGCCUGAUGCAGCCAUGCCGCGUGUAUGAAGAAGGCCUUCGGGUUGUAAAGUACUUUCAGCGGGGAGGAAGGGAGUAAAGUUAAUACCUUUGCUCAUUGACGUUACCCGCAGAAGAAGCACCGGCUAACUCCGUGCCAGCAGCCGCGGUAAUACGGAGGGUGCAAGCGUUAAUCGGAAUUACUGGGCGUAAAGCGCACGCAGGCGGUUUGUUAAGUCAGAUGUGAAAUCCUCGGGCUCAACCUGGGAACUGCAUCUGAUACUGGCAAGCUUGAGUCUCGUAGAGGGGGGUAGAAUUCCAGGUGUAGCGGUGAAAUGCGUAGAGAUCUGGAGGAAUACCGGUGGCGAAGGCGGCCCCCUGGACGAAGACUGACGCUCAGGUGCGAAAGCGUGGUGAGCAAACAGG
rnacentral:rRNA from 1 species